UAUAACCUACGGGGGGCAGCAGUGGGGGAUAUUGCACAAUGGGGGGAACCCUGAUGCAGCGACGCCGCGUGGGUGAAGGAGCGUUUCGGCGCGUAAAGCCCUAUCGGCAGGGAAGAAGAUGACGGUACCUGACCAAGAAGCCCCGGCUAACUACGUGCCAGCAGCCGCGGUAAUACCUAGGGGGCAAACGUUAUCCGGAUUUACUGGGUGUAAAGGGGGCGCAGACGGCAAUGCAAUCC
rnacentral:rRNA from 1 species